AAAAUCUAAAUGAUAUUCUUCCUCCCUCUCCCUCCUGCCGCAAGGUCCCUCCAAAGCUACCUCCACGCCGUCGCACAGCUGGCAGCCCCAAGGCAACGGUUGAAUCUGCCGCGCGCCUGUGCCCUUCUCGGCAGUCGACAGCCUCCACUCUGCCACACACGGUCGCAGCCUUAGCCGCAAGCUGCUGCCUCCACUCCGCCAGCCGCACCUCCCUUCAAGAAGGGCAAGAGGAUAAAGAAGUUCUAUGAUCCUAUAUCUCUUGACUACAUUGAUAUCAAGGAAGAUUGGAUAAGAGAAGAAAAGUCUAAUUCUAUAAACGAAGAAGUUCUUCAAGAUUGGAAAAAUAUGAAUGAGGAACCAACAAGUAUUGAACUUGAGGGGGAGAGGGGGGGGGGAGAGGAUAACUUUGGUGAGGAAAAGAAAGUAAAUUUCUUGCAUAAUUUAAUUGCUAGACAAUCAUGUAGUUGUGUUCUAAUCAAACUUUUACAUUAGCUAUUUAAGAUUUGUUUGAGCAAGGGACUCCCUCUUUCGGACCUAUUGAAAAUGUUGGAAUUGAGAAUUUGGAUGAUGAUGAAGAAAAUCAAGAUCAAGGUGGUGGCGGGGAGAAGGAAGGUCCUCAAGAGAGAACAAGUCAUGUGGAUGAACCAUUACUUCGAUUCACACCUACUUUUAGUUUAGGAAUUUGAUUCUGCAAAGUAUUAAAUAUAAAUUUGCAAUUCUAUGUGGCUUAAAGCCUUUAACUUUUGGGUUGUAAACUUGUAAUGUUCCAAUGUUUGUAUGAAAAUUUUAUGUUACAAUAUGUAAUGCUUAUUUGAAAUUUGAAGUAUUUAACUUUCAAUUUGAUGAUGAAAAAUAUAGGCUAUGUUGUGCAUUAUUGUAUUGUAAUAUAUAUUUGAUUUUGAAUUUUAUUUUGAUUGAUAUUUUGAAGAUAAAA